CCCCCUUUCAAACCCUCUUCUCUCGUCUCCACGGACGAUGAGAGAGACGGCCACUGGAAAAGCAAAUUCCAUUAAUCCAAACUCUUGCAAUUCUCUGAAACCAAACUCCUAACCGAAGAAGUCUUCUACUCCCGAAACCGAAACCGAAACAGGAAUAAGAUUCAUUCAGAGGGCAUUCGCAUAUCAAAGCACUUUUGUUGCUAAAACCUGAAAGCAACGACGGGAGUCAUACUCUUAUACUGUAUUAUUGUUAUGGUCAAUACAAUGAAGAACAGAGCAAGCUCGGUGAUGGCGGAGAGACAGAAAAGAGAAAAGGGUUUGAAAGGGAGCAACGGUUUUGACCUGAAAUCUGUAAACCAAGAUACCCGAAUCCUCUCUUUGAUUGCUUGCCGUCUCGACUCAAGCCAUGUGUCAGCAGCCUAGACGUCGUCUCCACAGCCGAUGUUUUCCCAGAUUUUUUUCUCUCUUACCAUAUUUUGUUACAGAAUCCCAUCCAGAUUUUGUGACCGAACAAAUCUGGAUUUUCAUCAUUUAGUCGGAUAGGAAGUCGGCGGUUCUCUUUUCUUUAUCUAUAAAUACCAACCAUGGCAGGCCAAGAAUUUAAUAAGAGAAGAUCAAGAGAGAUCAAGAGAGAGAUGGGAGCUAUGAAUGUUCGUUCCUUGGCAAUGGUAGCCUUAGUGAUCGCCGGAAUUAUAAUCACCGGCGAGGUAGUGUCAGCACAGUUUUGCCAAGAUGAUUAUAAGAGUAUAAUGAUGCAAUGCCCACCUUAUAUCAACAAAAAGGGCCCACAAACCGAUCCAUCGGGGGAUUGUUGCGAUGCUAUGAAGAAAGCUGAUAUUAAAUGUGUUUGCCAGGUCAUCUCUCAAUUUAAGGACGUAAAGCAACGAAUCAGCAAGGAGAAGAUGGUCUACGUUGCUAACUACUGUGGCACAUCUGUUCCUUCCGGGAUCGACUGUGGAAGUUAAACUGUUCCAGUGGCCGGCAUGAGAUGGAUCAUGGAGAGGGGUUGGAGUGGAGGAUUAUGACUAGUUAGAAUAAAUGUACCAGAUGUUUAUGAACUUUGGGUUGUCUGAUCAUGUAAGUGUUAAUGCUAAUAAAGAGUACAGAAAGAAGUUCUUAUGCUGAAA